UACGGAGGGUGCAAGCGUUAUCCGGAUUCACUGGGGUUAAAGGGUGCGUAGGUGGGCAGGUAAGUCAGUGGUGAAAUCUCUGGGCUUAACCCGGAGACUGCCGUUGAUACUAUCUGUCUUGAAUAUAGUGGAGGUGAGCGGAAUAUGUCAUGUAGCGGUGAAAUGCUUAGAUAUGACAUAGAACAUCGAUUGCGAAGGCAGCUCGCUACACUAUGAUUGACACUGAGGCACGAAAGCGUGGGGAUCAAACAGG
rnacentral:rRNA from 1 species